rnacentral:rRNA from 1 species
UACAGAGGGUGCAAGCGUUGCUCGGAAUUAUUGGGCGUAAAGGGUAGGUAGGUGGUCUCAUUUGUCAGGGGUGAAAGCCUUGGGCUUAACCCAAGAAGUGCCUUUGAAACGGUGAGACUGGAGUCCUGGAGAGGGUCGUGGAAUUCCCGGUGUAGCGGUGAAAUGCGUAGAGAUCAGGAAGAACAUCGGUGGCGAAGGCGCUCUGCUGGACCAUAACUGACACUCAGGGACGAAAGCUAGGGGAGCGAAUGGG